CACCACUCAAGCCUAGCUUGGUAUUGGGCGCCGCGGGAGACCGCGCGCCCCAAAGUCACCGGCUGAGCCGUCCGUCUCCAAGCGUUGUGGCAACUAUCCGCUGACGAGACCCGGGCGACCCGGCCGUUAAAACACUUUCUCA
rnacentral:misc_RNA from 1 species